rnacentral:rRNA from 1 species
AUUGAACGCUGGCGGCAUGCUUUACACAUGCAAGUCGAACGGCAGCGCGGGCUUCGGCCUGGCGGCGAGUGGCGAACGGGUGAGUAAUGCAUCGGAACGUGCCCAGUAGUGGGGGAUAGCCCGGCGAAAGCCGGAUUAAUACCGCAUACGACCUGAGGGUGAAAGCGGGGGACCGAAAGGCCUCGCGCUAUUGGAGCGGCCGAUGUCGGCUUAGCUAGUUGGUGGGGUAAAGGCUUACCAAGGCGACGAUCCGUAGCUGGUCUGAGAGGACGACCAGCCACACUGGGACUGAGACACGGCCCAGACUCCUACGGGAGGCAGCAGUGGGGAAUUUUGGACGAUGGGGGCAACCCUGAUCCAGCCAUGCCGCGUGCGGGAAGAAGGCCUUCGGGUUGUAAACCGCUUUUGUUCGGGAAGAAAUCCUCUGGGCUAAUACCCCGGGGGGAUGACGGUACCGGAAGAAUAAGCACCGGCUAACUACGUG